rnacentral:rRNA from 1 species
GUGCCAGCAGCCGCGGUAAUACAGAGGAUAUAAGCGUUAUUCAUAAUUAUUGGGCAUAAAGCAUCCUUAGAUGGUUUAUUAUAUUAAAGUAAAAAUCUAAAAAUAAUAUUUUUAAACAUUAUUUUUAAUAUUAAUAGAACUUAGAGACUAAAACAAGUUUAAGGAAUUUUUUGAGUAAUGGUGAAAUAUUAUUUCUAUACAUUAAAGAAGGCCAUGAACGAAAGUGUUAAACUAAGAUAAGUCUGACAUUGAUGGAUGAAAGCUAAAGUAGCAAAUGGGAUUAGAUACCCCAGUAGUUUUAGCUGUAAAUGAUGAAUAUUAAAAUCUAGAAAAUAAUUUUUUUUAGAUUUACAGUUAAUACGUAAAAUAUUCCGCCUGAAUAGUAUGCUCGCAAGAGUCAAAUUCAAAGGAACUGACGGGAACUUAUACAAGUGAUGAGCCAUGUUAUUUAAUUUGAUGCAGCCCAAAAAAUCUUACCAAUAUUUGACAUAAUUAACUAUUUUUCCUUAUAGAAAAUUUUUAAUUAAUCUUAAGGUGGUGCAUGGUUGUCGUCAGCUAGUGCUGUGAAGUAGUUAAAUAUUUUAAAACUAGCGUAACCCUUAUUUUAAUAUAUAUAUAAUUAAUUAAGGACGAUGUCAAAUCUUUAUGCCCCUUAUGUAUUGGGCUGAUAGCGUGGCGCAACGAUAAAAACAAAUGUAAAAAAUAUUUAUUAAAUUUUAUGAAAAUUUUCUAUAUAUUUUACAAACUAAAUUUUAUCUCAGUACGACAUAUAAAUUGAAAUCUAUUUAUAUUUAGUAGUAACCACUAGUAAUCGUUAGUCAUAUAUAUAACGGUGAAUAUAUAAUUAAGUUUUGUACACACCGCCCGUCGCAUCCUGAAAAUAAAUACAAUACAAGUUAUUUUAUAAAUAACAAAUUUUUGGUUUGUGAUUAGGAUGAAGUCGUAACAAGGUAGCCGUA